UACAGAGGGUGCAAGCGUUAAUCGGAAUUACUGGGCGUAAAGCGUGCGUAGACGGUUAUUUAAGUCAGGUGUGAAAGCCCCGGGCUCAACCUGGGAAUUGCAUUCGAGACUGCAUAGCUAGGAUGCGGAAGAGGGAAGCGGAAUUUCCGGUGUAGCGGUGAAAUGCGUAGAUAUCGGAAGGAACACCAGUGGCGAAAGCGGCUUCCUGGUCCAGCAUCGACGUCAGGCACGAAAGCGUGGGAGCAAACAGG
rnacentral:rRNA from 1 species